rnacentral:rRNA from 1 species
AGAGUUUGAUCCUGGCUCAGAUUGAACGCUGGCGGCAUGCCUUACACAUGCAAGUCGAACGGCAGCACGAGAGCUUGCUCUUGGUGGCGAGUGGCGAACGGGUGAGUAAUAUAUCGGAACGUACCCUAGAGUGGGGGAUAACGUAGCGAAAGUUACGCUAAUACCGCAUACGAUCUGCGGAUGAAAGUGGGGGAUCGCAAGACCUCAUGCUCAUGGAGCGGCCGAUAUCUGAUUAGCUAGUUGGUGGGGUAAAAGCUCACCAAGGCGACGAUCAGUAGCUGGUCUGAGAGGACGACCAGCCACACUGGAACUGAGACACGGUCCAGACUCCUACGGGAGGCAGCAGUGGGGAAUUUUGGACAAUGGGCGCAAGCCUGAUCCAGCAAUGCCGCGUGAGUGAAGAAGGCCUUCGGGUUGUAAAGCUCUUUUGUCAGGGAAGAAACGGUGGACUCUAAUACAGAUCACUAAUGACGGUACCUGAAGAAUAAGCACCGGCUAACUACGUGCCAGCAGCCGCGGUAAUACGUAGGGUGCAAGCGUUAAUCGGAAUUACUGGGCGUAAAGCGUGCGCAGGCGGUUGUGCAAGACAGAUGUGAAAUCCCCGGGCUCAACCUGGGAAUUGCAUUUGUGACUGCACGGCUAGAGUGUGUCAGAGGGGGGUAGAAUUCCACGUGUAGCAGUGAAAUGCGUAGAGAUGUGGAGGAAUACCGAUGGCGAAGGCAGCCCCCUGGGAUAACACUGACGCUCAUGCACGAAAGCGUGGGGAGCAAACAGGAUUAGAUACCCUGGUAGUCCACGCCCUAAACGAUGUCUACUAGUUGUCGGGUCUUAAUUGACUUGGUAACGCAGCUAACGCGUGAAGUAGACCGCCUGGGGAGUACGGUCGCAAGAUUAAAACUCAAAGGAAUUGACGGGGACCCGCACAAGCGGUGGAUGAUGUGGAUUAAUUCGAUGCAACGCGAAAAACCUUACCUACCCUUGACAUGUCUGGAAUCCUAGAGAGAUCAGGGAGUGCUCGAAAGAGAAUCAGAACACAGGUGCUGCAUGGCUGUCGUCAGCUCGUGUCGUGAGAUGUUGGGUUAAGUCCCGCAACGAGCGCAACCCUUGUCAUUAGUUGCUACGAAAGGGCACUCUAAUGAGACUGCCGGUGACAGACCGGAGGAAGGUGGGGAUGACGUCAAGUCCUCAUGGCCCUUAUGGGUAGGGCUUCACACGUCAUACAAUGGUACAUACAGAGGGCCGCCAACCCGCGAGGGGGAGCUAAUCCCAGAAAGUGUAUCGUAGUCCGGAUUGUAGUCUGCAACUCGACUACAUGAAGUUGGAAUCGCUAGUAAUCGCGGAUCAGCAUGUCGCGGUGAAUACGUUCCCGGGUCUUGUACACACCGCCCGUCACACCAUGGGAGCGGGUUUCACCAGAAGUGGGUAGCCUAACCGCAAGGAGGGCGCUCACCACGGUGGGAUUCGUGACUGGGGUGAAGUCGUAACAAGGUA